rnacentral:rRNA from 1 species
AGAGUUUGAUCCUGGCUCAGAACGAACGUUGGCGGCGUGGAUUAGGCAUGCAAGUCGAACGAAUCCCAGUUGUGUAGCAAUACAUGACUGGGGGAAGUGGCGAAAGGGGCAGUAAGGCGUGGGUAACCUACCCUGGGGAUGGGCAUAGCCGUUCUAACGAGCGGGUAAUACCCAGCGAUCCGGCCGAGGGGACAUCCUCUUGCCGGGAAAUGAGAUUCGCCUCGGGAGGGGCUCACGUGCUAUUAGCUAGUUGGUGAGGUAACGGCUCACCAAGGCAAAGAUGGCUAGCGGGUGUGAGAGCACGACCCGCGCCACUGGCACUGAGACACUGGCCAGACACCUACGGGUGGCUGCAGUCGAGGAUCUUCGUCAAUGGGCGCAAGCCUGAACGAGCGACGCCGCGUGUGCGAUGAAGGCCUUCGGGUUGUAAAGCACUGUCGAGGGGGAUCAAGGCCGCAAGGCUUGAGCGAUCCCUGGAGGAAGCACGGGCUAAGUUCGUGCCAGCAGCCGCGGUAAGACGAACCGUGCGAACGUUGUUCGGAAUCACUGGGCUUAAAGGGCGCGUAGGCGGCGGGCGAGGUCGGGGGUGAAAUCCCACAGCUUAACUGUGGAAGAGCCUUCGAUACCGGCUCGCUGGAGGAAGGUAGGGGUGCGCGGAACUUCUGGUGGAGCGGUGAAAUGCGUUGAUAUCAGAAGGAACGCCGGCGGCGAAAGCGGCGCACUGGACCUUUUCUGACGCUGAGGCGCGAAAGCCAGGGGAGCAAACGGGAUUAGAUACCCCGGUAGUCC